rnacentral:rRNA from 1 species
CCGAAUGGGGCAACCCAUCUGAUUUAUCAGAUUUAAGAGAAAACCCGCCGAACUGAAACAUCUAAGUAAGCGGAGGAAAAGAAAAUAACAAUGAUUCCCCAAGUAGUGGCGAGCGAACGGGGAAUAGCCCAAACCUAUUAUGUUACGGCAUAAUAGGGGUUGUAGGACUACAACGUGAAUAUAAUUGCUAAGAAGAAGCUUCUGGAAAGUUGCGCCAUAGCGGGUGAUAGCCCCGUAUUCGUAAACAAUUAUGUUCUAGUAGGAUCCUGAGUACCACGGAGUCGGUGAAGCUUUGUGGGAAACUGCCAGCACCAUCUGGUAAGGCUAAAU